UUUGAGAGUUUGAUCCUGGCUCAGGACGAACGCUGGCGGCGUGCCUAAUACAUGCAAGUCGAACGAACUCUGGUAUUGAUUGGUGCUUGCAUCAUGAUUUACAUUUGAGUGAGUGGCGAACUGGUGAGUAACACGUGGGAAACCUGCCCAGAAGCGGGGGAUAACACCUGGAAACAGAUGCUAAUACCGCAUAACAACUUGGACCGCAUGGUCCGAGCUUGAAAGAUGGCUUCGGCUAUCACUUUUGGAUGGUCCCGCGGCGUAUUAGCUAGAUGGUGGGGUAACGGCUCACCAUGGCAAUGAUACGUAGCCGACCUGAGAGGGUAAUCGGCCACAUUGGGACUGAGACACGGCCCAAACUCCUACGGGAGGCAGCAGUAGGGAAUCUUCCACAAUGGACGAAAGUCUGAUGGAGCAACGCCGCGUGAGUGAAGAAGGGUUUCGGCUCGUAAAACUCUGUUGUUAAAGAAGAACAUAUCUGAGAGUAACUGUUCAGGUAUUGACGGUAUUUAACCAGAAAGCCACGGCUAACUACGUGCCAGCAGCCGCGGUAAUACGUAGGUGGCAAGCGUUGUCCGGAUUUAUUGGGCGUAAAGCGAGCGCAGGCGGUUUUUUAAGUCUGAUGUGAAAGCCUUCGGCUCAACCGAAGAAGUGCAUCGGAAACUGGGAAACUUGAGUGCAGAAGAGGACAGUGGAACUCCAUGUGUAGCGGUGAAAUGCGUAGAUAUAUGGAAGAACACCAGUGGCGAAGGCGGCUGUCUGGUCUGUAACUGACGCUGAGGCUCGAAAGUAUGGGUAGCAAACAGGAUUAGAUACCCUGGUAGUCCAUACCGUAAACGAUGAAUGCUAAGUGUUGGAGGGUUUCCGCCCUUCAGUGCUGCAGCUAACGCAUUAAGCAUUCCGCCUGGGGAGUACGGCCGCAAGGCUGAAACUCAAAGGAAUUGACGGGGGCCCGCACAAGCGGUGGAGCAUGUGGUUUAAUUCGAAGCUACGCGAAGAACCUUACCAGGUCUUGACAUACUAUGCAAAUCUAAGAGAUUAGACGUUCCCUUCGGGGACAUGGAUACAGGUGGUGCAUGGUUGUCGUCAGCUCGUGUCGUGAGAUGUUGGGUUAAGUCCCGCAACGAGCGCAACCCUUAUUAUCAGUUGCCAGCAUUAAGUUGGGCACUCUGGUGAGACUGCCGGUGACAAACCGGAGGAAGGUGGGGAUGACGUCAAAUCAUCAUGCCCCUUAUGACCUGGGCUACACACGUGCUACAAUGGAUGGUACAACGAGUUGCGAACUCGCGAGAGUAAGCUAAUCUCUUAAAGCCAUUCUCAGUUCGGAUUGUAGGCUGCAACUCGCCUACAUGAAGUCGGAAUCGCUAGUAAUCGCGGAUCAGCAUGCCGCGGUGAAUACGUUCCCGGGCCUUGUACACACCGCCCGUCACACCAUGAGAGUUUGUAACACCCAAAGUCGGUGGGGUAACCUUUUAGGAACCAGCCGCCUAAGGUGGGACAGAUGAUUAGGGUGAAGUCGUAACAAGGUAGCCGUAGGAGAACCUGCGGCUGGAUCACCUCCUU
rnacentral:rRNA from 3 species